AGAUAUAUGUGAGGACUUCUAAUCCUAAAGUAGCUAUAAGCUAUAUCUU
rnacentral:tRNA from 1 species